rnacentral:rRNA from 1 species
CAGUGGUGAAAUCCCAGAGCUCAACUCUGGAACUGCCAUUGAUACUGAAGGUCUUGAAUUUAGUUGAGGUGGGCGGAAUACGUUAUGUAGCGGUGAAAUGCAUAGAUAUAACGUAGAACACCGAUUGCGAAGGCAGCUCACUAAGCUAACAUUGACGCUGAUGGACGAAAGCGUGGGGAGCGAACAGGAUUAGAUACCCUGGUAGUCCACGCCGUAAACGAUGAUUACUCGUUGUGCACGAUACACUGUGCGUGACUGAGCGAAAGCAUUAAGUAAUCCACCUGGGGAGUACGUUCGCAAGAAUGAAACUCAAAGGAAUUGACGGGGGCCCGCACAAGCGGAGGAACAUGUGGUUUAAUUCGAUGAUACGCGAGGAACCUUACCUGGACUUAAAUGUAGAUUGACCGGUUUAGAAAUAGAUCUUCCCUUCGGGGCAAUUUACAAGGUGCUGCAUGGUUGUCGUCAGCUCGUGCCGUGAGGUGUCGGGUUAAGUCCCAUAACGAGCGCAACCCCUAUCGUUAGUUGCUAGCAGGUAAUGCUGAGGACUCUAGCGAGACUGCCACCGUAAGGUGAGAGGAAGGUGGGGAUGACGUCAAAUCAGCACGGCCCUUACGUCCAGGGCUACACACGUGUUACAAUGGCCAGUACAAAGGGCAGCUACCUGGUGACAGGAUGCUAAUCUCUAAAGCUGGUCUCAGUUCGGAUCGGAGUCUGCAACUCGACUCCGUGAAGUUGGAUUCGCUAGUAAUCGUAGAUCAGCAAUGCUACGGUGAAUACGUUCCCGGGCCUUGUACACACCGCCCGUCAAGCCAUGGAAGCCGAGGGGACCUGAAGUUCGUAACCGCAAGGAGCGACCUAGGGUAAAAUUGGUAACUAGGGCUAA